rnacentral:rRNA from 1 species
AUGGCCGAUCGAGCAUCUCAUCUCCUCGGCUGCGUCCACCUCCAUGGAUCGGCCGUCUCAUCGAUCUCCUCGGCUGCGUCCACCAUGACCUCGAUCGAUCGCCCGCGCGGCACAACCAUCGUCCGUCCCACCUUCCGAUUCCGAUCACCCAUCAGGGAGCUUCUCCCUCGUCAGAUGCGGCGACCGCUGUUUGUGGCCGCUGAUGUAUUCCCACGGCCACGGGUGAGGAGAGGAGGACGCGUGCAGGCUCGCUGGGAUGUGGCGUGGCGGCGGCACACCCCACCAGUGGUAUACAGAUCGACCGCAUCUACUAAAAGAUCUAGUAAUUUUUUUAUAUACUAA